GUUGGCUGGCUUGCCCUGACCUGGGUAUGACUGCAGCUCCUAGAACAAUGGUCUAGUAUCUUUGUUUAGAAACUCUUGCUGUGUAAUAGAGGAUCAAACCCGUAAUGUAUCAUGGGGAAAUUGUGACUGACCGAUCUACAAAUAAUGAUCCGUUAUUUAUAAUGCAGGUCAGUCAGUCGGAGCAAGCCCUGUGCCUAUAAUCUACAGUAGGCGACCUGGAACAAGGGGAGAAGGCAAGCCCGCAUUUCUAUGGAAACUGUAACGCAGACUGCAGGUAUCAUGGCAGGGACGUCACGACAUGAUCGGGAGAUGGCGGUGAACGCCAAAAACCAGCUGUCUGUUUGCACAGACCCUGUGGAUCGACUGAGGAUGCAGUGUCUCGCACGAGGCUCUUCUGGCAUCAAGGGUCUGGGCAGAACAUUCAGGAUAAUGGAUGAUGACAACAACCGUACAUUGGAUGUGAAGGAGUUUAUGAAGGGGCUUAAUGACUACGGUGUCCUCAUUGAUAAAGAUGAGGCCAUGACAAUGUUUCAACGUUUUGACCGGGACAACAGUGGACUCAUUGACUUUGAUGAAUUUCUCCUCACUCUCAGGCCCCCGAUGUCCAAUGCCAGGAAGGAGGUGAUCAUGCAGGCCUUUAGGAAGCUGGAUAAGACUGGUGACGGGGUGAUCACUAUUGAAGAUCUGAGUGGGGUUUACAAUGCCAAGUACCACCCCAAAUAUCAAAACGGGGAGUGGACAGAGGAGCAAGUAUUCCGCAAAUUCCUGGACAGCUUCGACUCUCCUUACGACAAGGACGGAAAGGUGGAUUAAACUGAAAUUGCAACCAACUUUCUAUGGCUUGUCUAAAAAAUAACGAUAUUUUGGAGAUUUCAUUUUAAAAUAACCGAAAGUAAGCGGUUGUAAUCUGGAUAAAGGGGAAAAGGCCAUUCUUGAACAUGGGGUCACCAAGGAGGAGUUUCUCAACUACUACUGCGGAGUCAGCGCCUCCAUCGAUAGUGAUGUCUAUUUCAUUCUCAUGAUGAAAAAUGCAUGGAAAUUGUGAGUUUUAAUUUGAUGAUUUUUGAUGGACAGUUUUUCAAGGUGCCUUCUUAAACAAAUAUUUCAUUAUAGAAAUCAUGUUGACACCGAAUGUUAAUAAUGUCCCAAUGAUAUGCAAAUUAUUAUGAAUAACUUGUAAAUAUGUAGUGCUGUGUGAAAAUAUGUAUUUGAAUUAUACAGUCACUUUCUCCAGAAACAACCAAUAUUCUGUAUAGUAGAAAUUGAAAUGUGAUGUAUCUGUACAUCUGUGGUCCACAGUUCCAAUGUUAGAUAUAUCUUUAUAAAGACACGGGAAAUCAUAAAGACUGAUAAAUCAAAGUACAGUCAUUUCAGGAGAUGAUGAAAGCAGAGGAAAUGAUACAACUACAUUUGUUUGUGGAAUUAAUAUGUUUAAUAAAAAUGUUAAACACAAAAUGUAACAACGUGGUCAUUUCUACACAAAUAAUGUUGUCACAUUUGUCAGAUUAAAAUA